rnacentral:rRNA from 1 species
UACGUAGGGUGCGAGCGUUAAUCGGAAUCACUGGGCGUAAAGUGUGCGCAGGUGGCCGCGCAAGUCGAGUGUGAAAUCCCCGAGCUUAACUUGGGAAUUGCGCUCGAAACUACGUGGCUCGAGUGUGGCAGAGGAAGGUGGAAUUCCACGUGUAGCGGUGAAAUGCGUAGAGAUGUGGAGGAACACCGAUGGCGAAGGCAGCCUUCUGGGCCAACACUGACGCUCAGACACGACAGCAUGGGGAGCGAACGGG